CGAGAUUCGUUCGUUAGCGAUUGUUUACCGUAGCAACAAAUAGGUACUUAUAUGUAGAAUUAUUUAAAGAGCCAUCACCUCAAGAAACUAGUCAGUGUUUUGCCGACAACAGAUCGUUUCGACCGGCAAAAUGAAGUACACUAUUUUAUCUCUUUUCAUGUACGUGGCUUUAACCCUAGCGGAAAGCGAGGAGCGGAAUGCCCUGACACUCAGAAAUGGCAACAACCAAUUUACAUCUAAAAUGUUCUCGGAAAUCGUCAGGGAGAAACCGAAUGAAAGCGUAGUUCUAUCAGCGUAUUCAGUACUGACCCCACUUGCUCAACUUGCUUUGGCUUCCGAAGGUGAAUCUCAUGAUGAGCUACUGGCAGCGAUUGGUAUGCCAAAUGACAAUGUCACUAAAGAAAUAUUUUCAAGCCUCGACAGUAACCUCAAAGCGGUUAAAGGUGUGACUCUAAAGUCUGCGAGUAAGAUUUACGUCGCAAAAAAUUACGAAUUGAAUGAACAGUUUGCCGAAGUGUCUCGUGAUGUUUUCCAUUCCGAAGUACAAAAUUUGGACUUUGUGGACAACCAAAGAGCAGCGAAUGAAGUGAACGCCUGGGUUGAAGGCCAAACUAACAACAGAAUCAAAAAUCUUGUUUCACCAGACUCUUUAGAUGAAAAUACCAGAGCUAUUCUUGUCAAUGCAAUUUACUUUAAGGGUCUUUGGAAAUAUCCCUUUAGUAACUAUACUACGGCAGAAAGAGACUUCCAUGUAACAAAGGAAAAAACUGUCAAGGUAGAAAUGAUGCAUCAGGUUAAGGACUUGAGGUAUGCCGAGAGUCCAGAAUUAAAUGCUAAGCUUUUAGAAUUACCAUACGAAGGAGAUCAGGCGUCGAUGUUGCUUGUGCUACCAAACGAAGUUGACGGUAUUUCUCAACUAGAAGACAAACUAAAGGAUCCCAACGCAUUAGAGAAUGCAAUCGCUAAAUUGGAAACUGUUGAAGUCUCUGUAUCAUUGCCUAAAUUCAAAAUCGAGACCGAAACGAACCUUAGAGACGUUCUAACAAAUAUAAACGUUAAGAGACUGUUCACGUCCGAGGCUCGUUUAAAUAACCUAUUAAAAGGCACGAGCAAUAUUUACAUAGAUAAAGCAGUGCAGAAGGCUUUCAUAGAAGUCAACGAGGAGGGUGCUGAAGCCUCAGCAGCUAACGAAUUUGAGGUGGUAGAUCGGAUUCUUUCUGUAAACUUCAGCUUUAAACUACCGAAGAUCUUCAAAGCCAACAGACCGUUCUUCUUUAACAUCCGUGCUGAUGGAACACCAUUAUUUAGUGGCGUCAAGUACAACUGAUGUUCCGCCACAUUUAUAUAACCUAUACAAAUCAAAAACUGAUUGUUAAGUAAAUUAGUAUCAUGCAAUAAAGGUUCAUAUUAAUUCAGCCAGUUAGUCUUCCGAUCAACUAUAUUCCACCGAAGAUAUUCAAUGCUGACAAACCAUUUUACUUUGAGAUCAGAGCUAAUAGAAUACCAUUAUUUAAUGGUGUGAAAUAUGAAUAAUUAUCUCAAUUCGAUUGCGUUUUUGUUUAUAAAUUCAAAAAUGAUAUUUUAUAACGAUUUAAUAGUAAUACACAAUCAUUUCCGAUGUUUCUA